rnacentral:rRNA from 1 species
AUUGAACGCUGGCGGCAGGCCUAACACAUGCAAGUCGAACGAGUGGCGGACGGGUGAGUAAUGUCUGGGAAACUGCCCGAUGGAGGGGGAUAACUACUGGAAACGGUAGCUAAUACCGCCUACCAUCGGAUGUGCCCAGAUGGGAGUAGCGAGUGGGUGGGGUAAAGGCUCACCUAGGCGACGAUCGCUAGCUGGUCUGAGGGGUUGACGUGCCACACUGGAACUGAGACACGGUCCAGACUCCUACGGGAGGCAGCAGUGGGGAAUAUUGCACAAUGGGCGCAAGCCUGAUACGGCCAGGCCGCGUGUAUGAAGCAGGCCUUGGGUUUGUAAAGUACUUUAAGCGGGGAGACGUUACCCGCAGAAGAAGCACCGGCUAACUCCGUGCCAGCAGCCGCGGUAAUAC